GUAAAUAUUAAGCGAGAAAGUCUAGUGGAACGAUGCAGGGUUCAUUGGGUUUGUUUACAAGCAUCCGGUUAAGAAGACGACACAUAAGAAUGGUAUUAAGUUGGUAGAAUGGAACUCCUUCCUGAUUCCUGCACAUACCAGAUACUCUUGAGGGACCAAUUUAAGGGCAAACAGACAAACGUUUUGAUGCAAAGAAAGCAUUGGAUUUGAAAGUUCCCAUGGAGAAGAAAAAUGGAGAGAUUCUAAAAGUAUGAAGAUACUCCUGUGUAUAAUGAGGAAAUCUUGUCAGUGAAUGUUGUUGCAAUUGUGGACCAGGCCAGAGUUGUACUAAACCAACUAAGACACAAUGAGAUACAGGAAUGACACAAUGAGAAACAGGAAACAGGAAAGUGAUGACUGAUCGCCACCUGUUACAAAUUCAUCUAGAAAACUCCCCACAUCCAACAAGAGACAGUCUGACUUCAAAAUCUUCAUUGAAAGCAACUUAAUGGACAAGACAUCCGUCACAUAAAGAUUCACUAAAAUUGGAAUGAUAUACCAAUUUUAACUUUUAACAGACAAAUACAUUAUAGAUUUGAAAAUAGAUUACCCUUAAAUAAGUUGGAUGAUUAACAUUUACCUCAACACAGUACAAAGUGCUCAUGUUGAACUAUUGUGAUUGAUCAUAGUCUGUCCUUCAUUUUUAUUAACAGUUUCAUACAGUGUUAACACUUUAGUAUGGGGACUCAUUUUAGCUCAACUUUUCGAAGAAUAUGGAGAGCUAUACUACUCACCCAAGCGUCGGCGUUGGCGUCACCCCUUGGUUAAGGGUUUGCGUGCAAGCACACAUGGUAAAUAUCUCAGCAACUACUUGAGGUAUUGCAUUGAGACUUUAUACAAUGGUACUCAACCAUCCAACCUACUUAAUUAACCAAGUUUGAUAACUACUUUGCAUUUAAUGCCAAUAAUAGGCCUUUAAUAUUUGACUUAGAAAUUCUGGUUAAUGUUUUGCAUGCAAGCACACAUAGGUUAAUAUCUCAGCAACUACUUGAGGUAUUGCAUUGAGACUUGAUACAAUGGUACUCAACCAUCCAACCUACUUAUUUAAACAAGUAAGAUAACUCUAGUUUGCAUUUAAUGUAAAUAAUAGGCCUUUAUUAUUUGACUUAGAAAUUCUAGUUAAGGUUUUGCAUGCAAGCACACAUAGGUUAAUAUCUCAGCAACUGCUUGAGGUAUUGCAUUGAGACUUGAUACAAUGGUACUCAACCAUCCAACCUACUUAUUUAAACAAGUAAGAUAACUCUAGUUUGCAUUUAAUAUAAAUAAUAGGCCUUUAUUAUUUGACUUAGAAAUUCUGGUUAAGGUUUUGCAUGCAAGCACACAUAGUUUAAUAUCUCAGCAACUGCUUGAGGUAUUGCAUUGAGACUUGAUACAAUCAUGAAUGGUACUCAACCAUCCAACCUACUUAAUUUUCCAAGUUAUAUAACUAUAGUUUGCAUUUAAUGCAAAUACUUGCCUUUAUUAUUUCACUCAGAAAUUCUGGUUAAGGUUUUGCAUGUAAGCACACAUAGGUUAAUAUCUCAGCAACUACUGUAUGAAUUGCAUUGAGACUUUAUACAACCACCCAACCUAACUGAAUAAUCAAGUUAGAUAAAAAUUCUGGUUAAAAUUUUGCAUGUAACCACAUUUAUGUUAAUAUCUCCGCACAUCAUGUAUUGCAUUGAAAUCUAAUCUAACAGUGAUCCAUGCAUGUUUCGCCAAAACUUUUCAAUCCUUACACUGAAAAGCAGCGGAAUAGUCGAGAGCGCUGUCUCUGUGACAGCUCUUGUCUCUUUGGUCUUUAUUCAUACUGGCCAGAAUAUGUUUACCAAAAAAAUCUUAGUAGAGAUUGAUAACUGUUCAGGUUGGACAAAAAGCAUGUAGGUUGUUUGUUCUAAUAAUAUAAACUGUAAAUGCUUCAGAAACUAUAUAUAUAAUUUUUCAUGAUAUUUGUCAGUAUUUAUUCUCGUCAACAUUUAAAUAAUAUUAGGUAAAACUUGUUUAAUGGUCAAAAUGUGUUUGAUUAGAGUGGCCUCAAGUUCCAUUUUAUAUGAAUGAAAUUUGGUCAAGUUUUAGAAAAAAACUAUGUUCUAGUUUUAUAGGCCAUAUUCUCUUCCCAAGCUUUCCUUAAAGAAUGAAUGUAGGUAAUAUGAAACAGGAGUCACUAAGUCAAGUAUUAAAAACCUUAAAAAUUGCUAUUCAUAGAGGUAUUGUUUCCUCAUCAUAAAUCACAACUUAGCCAGCAAGACUUUUCAACAAAUAAGGCAUAACAUGUAAAAAGUUAAUAAUUAGGCACAUAUUUUAGUGAAUAAAAUCUUGUGAACAUAUUAUUGAAACAAAUAAUGUGUCUGGUUCUGAGGUGAGCAAUAAAGCACAUUGCUUAGUAACAAUUGAGCUAGCUGAUUAUUAAAAGUUUGUUUUAAACUUGAAUUAAAUGAAUGCAAAUCAUAUAUUAUUAUUUUUAAUCUAUAUUUUUUUUUUAGUUACCUUGUUCUGUUGUUAAUUUCCAUACUGACUUGGUCAAUUAUGGCUAAUUGUCUAAUUAUAUUUUAACUUCUAACCUAAAUGUUUCACUGUACUUUUGAGUGUUCUGUUAAAUAUAUUGCACAUUACCCUAUAUGACAGUAUAAAUUCAAUAAAACCAUGGUUAUUAAGUUCCAUACAUAUUGGAGCAUAUGGUAAGCCUCUAGAAAUGUCAUUUCUUAAACCUAGAUUCUUGAUCUGUUCGCCACAUUGUUUUGUUAUUUUUUUGUUUAUAAAAACAAAUGAUUGUUUAAUGUCAAGGAAACCUUUUUAAAGUUAAAAUGUAGAUGUACAUAGAUAACUGUCAAAUAUUAUUUACUAUUUAAUAACUGUCUAAAGGCAAAAUUUCCAUUCAUUUUUAUAUUUGAUUUGGGUCCCUAGGGUCAUGGUCACUGUAACUAAAAAUAGAAAAAUGCUUGGUACUGAAUAACUUCAGUUUUAAUACAUUUAAAACUGAAUCUCACAAUAAAGGCUGAAGUUCUUGUUGCAUUGCAGCAUUUCUAGUUAACUUUUUAAUUUGACUCUUUUUAUUGCUUUCGACAGGCACAUAUUACAUCAUUAUUGUAUUCAUUUUUAAGACAAAGCCUCAUUUAAUUGAGCGUGCUGUCCAAAGACAGCUCUUGUUGACACAAUUAUAAGACACCUUAUGUUAUGGUUUAUAUGAACAAUAGCUGUUUCUGUGUAUGUUUUAGAAGAAACUUCCAUUUCUUAUCAUAUUGAUGGACAUAGAUAUACAUACAUGUACGGGAUUAUUGACAUCAGAUUCUUAAGAUUAAAUUUACUAAUGUUCUGUUUAUGUUCAAAAUAGAUACAUUUAUGGUAAAUGCAUAGUCUUGUUUGUUUAUAACAUAGACAACCAUGUCUUUUGGUUGUCCUGGUCUCCUGUCCUGUUAUGUGAAUUGGGUUUUAUGGACAUCUUCGAUAUUGUAGGUCCAAUUCUAGUGUCUAGCUGGAAAAGUAUUUAGCCUAGGGAGACCUUAGUUUGGGUUAUCAUGUUGGAUAUGUCUAAAUGUUGGCAUGUCGGGAAAUGACAAUUUUAGGCUAUGAUUUUAGGCUAUGACAAUUUAAAAAUGUAGACGUUGCUGGGCAAGGCUCCACACCCAAGUGACUGUCGCAUUAUAUUCUUGAAAAAAUGCCUUGGGCUUUUGGUUUGUUAUGAAUUUUGCGAGUCUGGCAAAUAUCUGCAUUAUAAAAUUCAUCGACAUACAGGUGACAGAGAAAAAGGUCAAUUUUCAAUGAUUUCAAAAGAUUUAUUAACUAAAAGGGGAUCAUCAUAAAUGAAUACAGAGAACAAGGUUAAUUGAUUUGACAGAGGAUUGAUGCAGAGCUUCAAAAAUUAAGGAGACAAUUUCAGAAAAAUGCACAUAAAUGAUUUUUGUUUAUUUGUGUUGUUUGAUAACUGCUGUGUGUCGAUUUUUAUUUAAUUUCAUUUUACCCCCCAAAUCACACUUCACACAAUACAUGGUUUCUACUCUUUAGGUUUGUUAUACUGUAUUAUAGUAUCUAUUGAAUACAGUAAAAUUUCUGGUCAUUGUAUUGCAAAAUUUGUGCUAAUAAUUUGCAAUUUCAGAAAUUCUCAUUUUUAUUGAAUUUUUCAAACAUUUUCCCCAAAAUUCACAUUUCACAAAAUUACAUAGUUUCUUUACUUUUGAUAUAUUAAACUGUAAUAUUUAUGAAAUACAGUAAUUCUGGUCAUUCUAUUGCAAUAUUUGAAAAAGUUAUUGGCAAAUUCCAGAAAUUCUCAUUUCCAUUUAAUUUUUCAUACAUUUUACCCCGAAAAUCAUAUUUUAAAAAAAACUGUGUUUCUAUAUAAUAUAUAAUAAUGUUAAAUGAAAUAUAUUAGCUGCAGUAGUUCUGGUGUUUUUAUUGCAAAAUAAGGCAGAGUUAUUGGCAAAAUUCAUAAAUUGUCAUUUUCAUUUAAUUUUUCCAACAUUUUACCCCAAAAAUCAUUUUUUGCGCCAUAUAAUUGUUCUAUGAUUUAAGUAUAUUAAAUAUGUUGCCUGAUAUGACAUAAAUUCAUCAAAAUUAUUUUUGUGCAGUUUUCUCCAUUUUUUGUUCAAAAAUCUCCGUUUGUAUACAUUGAAUAGAGAACAGAGGUG